GGGGCUAGCGUUGCUCGGAAUGACUGGGCGUAAAGGGCGCGUAGGCGGAUUGGUUAGUCAGACGUGAAAUUCCUGGGCUCAACCUGGGGGCUGCGUUUGAGACGGCUGAUCUAGAGUUUGGAAGAGGGUCGUGGAAUUCCCAGUGUAGAGGUGAAAUUCGUAGAUAUUGGGAAGAACACCGGUGGCGAAGGCGGCGACCUGGUCCUUGACUGACGCUGAGGCGCGAAAGCGUGGGGAGCAAACAGGAUUAGAUACCCUGGUAGUCCACGCUGUAAACGAUGAGUGCU
rnacentral:rRNA from 1 species